GUCCACACUGUAAACGUUGAUUACUCGCUGUUUGCGAUACACUGCAAGCGGCUUAGCGAAAGCGAUAAGUAAUCCACCUGGGGAGUACGCCGGCAACGGUGAAACUCAAAGGAAUUGACGGGGGUCAGCACAAGCGGUGGAGCAUGUGGUUUAAUUCGAUGAUACGCGAGGAACCUUACAUGGACUAGAAUGCCCUUGACCGAUCCAGAGAUGGAUAAUUCAGCAAUGACAAGGAGCAAGGUGCUGCAUGGCUGUCGU
rnacentral:rRNA from 1 species